CCUAAAAAAGCGUUUUGGAUUCCAUAACACUGGACUUCUCAUUUCUUCACGGACCAGCCCAUGGGUCGCGUCCACCAGGGAUAAUUUCUCUCCUUCUCGCACAUCCAACCCUAAAAAUACUUUUCUCUCUUUAUCCUCAUCCCGCACAAGCCAGGGAGAAUUCCUCUCCUUCUUCCAUUUCUCUUCACCGCAGACGACCACGUUGGAGCAAGGAUGAUCUGCAGCGACGGUGUGGAGAUGGCGCGACAGGCGGCGUUCGUGGUGGCUCACAGCGGCGCUCGUGGUGGCUCGUGGCGGUGCGAUUGGUCAUUCUUCUCCUUCCCUCUUCUCUUUCUGGUUCUAUUCUGGUUGCAGGGAAGAGGAUGCGAAAUCGACGGAGUAGGCGUCUCAGUGGCGGAGGCGACGAGAGCAUAGCGAAAGUGUGCCGGAGGAGCGGCGGGACACGGCGAUUGAGAAAGUUAGGGUUUUUAGUGUGGGGAAUUUCUUUUUGGGGAUCCGGUGAGGGUUGUUGAUGGUUGCGCCAGUGGAGUAGGCUGUGUGGGCUGGAUUGGCUGAGGCGCAUGGUGGUUGUGAAGCGUUGAAGAAGAAGAUCCUGGAUUGGCAGAGGCGCAUGGAGAUCCUGGUCUGCUGUUGUCAACAGAGGAGAGUCCAAAAAUUCAGCUUGGGAAUUGUUUGAAUCCCAUGCAAAGGGGGAAUCCACUGUUAUCGAUGUUGACAAAUUGCCAUGGACAACAUUGGACACUUCAGCAUUCAAACUGUGGCCAUUGGUACCACCAACAUUUUGCACUUGCUGCUGGUUUUUGCUUUCUAGAGAACACAUACAUGUUGUUGCCAAAGACAUCCUUGUCCAAACAAAUCCUUCCAUCAAAGAAACUAUCAUUGUACA